rnacentral:misc_RNA from 1 species
UCCAAACAUUAUUUUUAUUGAUAAACCAGAUAAGAUGGUCAGUCUACAACCUGCAGAUGUACAUCUUGACCAUAUAUCAGUUCUCAUAAAUGAACAAGAUACAGGAUGGUACACAUCCAGAAUACAGACAGGAUCACUGACUAAAUCAACCACAUCCUUCUAGGAACGCCUGCGUCUAGCGUUAAACCUUCACUAACUACUGAAAUGAAAGGAGUUUCUACAUAAAUAUGAACAUCUGAAACCUGUGAUCACCAGCAAACGACGAAUGCCUCCCUACUGACUUUUCUUGGGAAUAAAAAAUCAAGGAAGCUCCUGUGGGUUUGGCUGGAUUAGUUAUGCUACAGUGGUUCAGUAUCACUAUCUGAAUCCAGAAAGCUAUAUUCUUUCAAUCCAUCAAUCUUAAUUAGCACUGUUCCACGGUUCUCUUCACUCCAUCUAAUCCCUUCCCUUUCCAGAAGCUUUAUGAUUGAUUGUUUGAGUUUUGACUUUCCCACACCAUGACUGCCACAUCCUGUGAUUACUCUGAGAGUUUGAAUUGAAUGCACAUAAGUUCCAAAUAGAAGGUGAAGUUUCAACAGCUUCAUUGCUUGUUUGACAUGCUGCCCGUGCAAAUCAAUUGUUACUACAUUUUCUAUGCCCUUGUUCCUAGCUUUAAAAAUAUUCUGGCUUGCUCUUUCAUCAGCCUCUUGAGCCAAUUUAGUUUGUAAUUUCCCCUAUCCAAUUGCAAGAUACCAAGAAAAUGUGUCAUGAAAGUUCACCAGGUAAAUGCAAACAUAAAAAUCACAUGAAUCUCAAAAACCUACAGAAGAAGAAGAGGGGGGAGGGGGUUUGCAUUAUGGUCCAGAACCACCACAAAGGUAAAGUAACUGGGAUUAAGACCAAUGUUGAUAACUACACAAUGCAAUCCAUAAAACAGAAGUUUACUGGGUACAAUGGAAUGCCUUAAAGGAAAUCAUUGAAAGAAGUCAAAAAUUCAUGCCACUAGUACAAUAUAUUCAGAAUCAAAUAUCUAAGUUCACAUAUUCUUAACUUUCCCCAUUGGCCCAUCCUAAGUUUUAGGCUUUCAUCUAACAGCACUUCUUAAAUAAGGGCCUUCAUCUAAUAGAAGUUGUAGAACAUAUUCAUAGCAAGAUUAAGCAUUACAAUAAUAAUGGGAUGAUGGGAAGCUAUGCAGUCCAAUAUCAAUCACAAAGCAGCUAUAUAUAUCACACCACAACUUUGCAAGAAGUAGAAUAGAUCAAGUUGUUUAAAUCAACAAGGGGUGAAGUAGACUAAAUGCAUAAACGCAUUAUGACAUAAAUAAAAAUGAAUUUCGGAAGCAGGCUUACCUGGUCUGAAAGGUAAGCUGCAUAUUCCCGUUCUCCCUUUGCAUAAGCUACUGCAGCCUACAGAAGAAUUUGCAUCUGUUACAACAAAUUUUAGUCUUCUACACUCUAUUUGGCAAACCAGGAGGUAGUGUAAGGUUUUAAAGGUAUAGUAAGGCAAGGUUUUGUAAGUAUGCUAGUUUGGAAGAGUAUAUAAUGGAAUGGUAAAUGAAGGUAAAGUGAUGAAAAUACCAAACUACCCCUACCAUUUUUAAAAGAUUUAGGCAUCAUUGGUAGAUUAUAAGGAAAGAUUAUGAAACCUUCUGAGCGCUGGCAUAUUUCACUAUUUUAUGGCAAACUGAGGGUUAGAUAAAACCAUGAAAAACCUUCCCACCUACCUCCCAAACAAGAAAGGGUGGUUAUGAAACUUAAAAAACCAUCCUUGACUCCCAAAAAACCCCCAACCAAAACUUUGGAUGUAAUAUCUAACACCAUCAAAGUAACAAAACAAUAGAAAAAACUCACUUUUUGAUAGUAACAUCUCAUCGACUCCCAAUGCUGCUUAGCACAUUGUCUAAACAGGUGAUAAUCAGAACCCCUAGCUGCAAUUCCAAUUUCCAUAACAAGUGAGCAGCAGAAAAAUAGAUAUAAUAGAUAUAGUAGCUUCAAUUCUGAAAUGCUUGUCCAUGCAUCGCAGGACAAGCAGUUCAGAAUCUAUGACCAAUAGUUUUCAAAGUCUAGCGCUGAAUUUCAGUAUGGUAACAGGAUCAUAUUGAAAGACCAGAUUCCAGAAGAGUAAUGAAAUAAAGAACUAAUGUUGAAUACCAUAAGUGUCCUGCUGAGGAACUGUAUCACUAGAUGGACAGACAUCAAUGCCAAGACCCAACAACUGCAUUUUUUUUACCACAUUCCUCCAAUUCAUGGUGCCUGGUUCAUGUUCAGAGCUUCUGGAGGUGUGAAACAAAGAUUCCAACACCUUUUGAGGGAGAUCUGACUGAUUACUUCUUGGGCUGGUUGAUGGAGCUUCAAAACCAGUAAGGACCUCAGAAUAAUUCCUGCAAUCAUAGCCCCAUAUGCUUUCAUGAACUUCACUUUCAGUUGAAUGAGAAGUGCAAUCAGAUGCCCUAUCUGUUGCAUUAUCAUCACGCUCAACAACAGAAGUAUUCCUUGACUGCUCAAUGGAGGAAGCAGAUAAAUCAAGCAAUGCAUCCAAAGCAAUUUCCUCAGUACCUUUUCAACAUCAUAUCCACACUGACAUAGGACAUCUCUAACAAUAGCCAUGCUUAGCUCGCAAUCGUCACUGAGCAUAGAACACAAGAACUGCUCAGCCUCUUCCUUCACCACAACACCAUUAACAAACUCCUUUGUUUUCGCGGAAUCCCUCCUAGGGCUUGCCUUGACAUACUCCUUUCCCAGAACCGUUGAAACCGUCCCCGUAGCGGCCACGACUUUCUUCUGCUUAUUACUUCCUCGAAAGCCUUUCCUGUUCACCAUAUUCAUAUUCGCCUCCAUGUAACCCUCCGAGGAGCCCGAACUGGAACCCGCAAUACUCGAGUUGAAACCCGAACCAAAGUCCAAACUCGAAACAGAACUCGUAGACGGAUCCUCUAUAUUGUCUGUCAAGUUGGCUAAGAUGCCAGCCGCUUUGUUUACAUCACCAUUAGCUUCUCUGCAAGCCGAGGAGGCUUCUUCAAAAGAGACGGAAUCAAACGCCUCCAUUAACGACAAAACCGUAUUGGUUUGUUGCUGCUGCUGUUGUUGAUUUUGUUCUCCAUCAUGAGGUGCUUGGUUUCCAGAGGGAUUGGAGGCGCGCGAGGGACGGUGCUUCUUCUUUUUCCUCUUGGUUUGCUGCUUCAUGGUUUUGUAUAGAUUCGAGGGGAUUAUCGCACGAAUCAAGGAGGAUUGAAAUUGAUAGACCAAUAGACUCUGGGGAACCCUAAAUUAUUGGGGGAAGGGAGAAAGAGAAUGAAAAGGGGAAGUUAGAAUCGACACUAAAAAUCAACACACUGAAAAUAAGAGGCCAAUGUAUGG